GGGAGAGUCCAGGGACUCUCCAAAGGUCAGGUGGCAAUCUUCAGCUCCUGAAACCAAUGGUCACAGUGCCUUUCUACCCACAAACAUUCUUACUGUUAUGACCACGAAUUUUGUCUCAGGGUUGUUUAUGUAAGUUAGAAAAUUUCCACAGGGCCAUGGUUGAGGCCAUGUCUCCUGGCAUUUUGUCCUACUACAGUGUUUUUGCCUUACAGAAACUUUACAGUUUCACUCGUUUCCAUUUAUCAAUUUGUGAUCUUAGAGCCUGAGACAUUGGUGUCAGGAAAUUGUCUCCUGCAUCAAUUCAUUUAAUGGUACUUCCCAAUUCCUCUCCUGUGAGAUUUAGUGUAUCCGGUUUUAUGCUGAGGUCCUUCAUCCAAUUGGAUAUGAGUUUUUUGCAGGGUGGUAAGUAUGAAUCUACUUUCGUUCUUCUACAUGCAGACAUACAGUUAUACCAACACCAUAUAUUGAAGAUGCUUUCUGUUGUCCAUUGUAUGGCCCAAGCUUCUUCACCAAAAAUCAAGUGUAAUUGGUAUGUGGGUUUAUUUUGGGGUUUUCAAUUUGAUUCCAUUUGAUCAAUGUAUCUGUUUCUGUACCAAUACCAGGCAGUUUUGGUUUGGUUUGGUUUGGUUUUUAAAUCAGUAUUACUCUGUAGUAGAGAUUAAGGUCAGAGAUUGUAAUUUCUCUCAAAGUUCUUUUAUUGUUUAAGAUUGUUUUGGCUUCUCUCGGUUUAUUAUUUUUCCAUAUGGAGUUCAGAGUUGCUCUUCUAAGCUCUCUAUA
rnacentral:lncRNA from 1 species